rnacentral:rRNA from 1 species
GACGAACGCUGGCGGCGUGCUUAACACAUGCAGGUCGAGCGAGGCCCCUCCUUCGGGAGGGUGUCCUAGCGGCGAACGGGUGAGUAACACGUGGGCAACCUGCCCUCAGCUCUGGGAUAACUCCGGGAAACCGGGGCUAAUACCGGAUACGACCUCCACGGGCAUCUGCGGAGGUGGAAAGUUUUUCGGCUGAGGAUGGGCCCGCGGCCUAUCAGCUAGUUGGUGGGGUAGUGGCCCACCAAGGCGACGACGGGUAGCCGGCCUGAGAGGGCGACCGGCCACACUGGGACUGAGACACGGCCCAGACUCCUACGGGAGGCAGCAGUGGGGAAUAUUGCGCAAUGGGCGAAAGCCUGACGCAGCGACGCCGCGUGAGGGACGAAGGCCUUCGGGUUGUAAACCUCUUUCAGCAGGGACGAAGCGAAAGUGACGGUACCUGCAGAAGAAGCACCGGCCAACUACGUG